GUAGAACGCUGAAGAGAGGAGCUUGCUCUUCUUGGAUGAGUUGCGAACGGGUGAGUAACGCGUAGGUAACCUGCCUUGUAGCGGGGGAUAACUAUUGGAAACGAUAGCUAAUACCGCAUAACAAUGGAUGACACAUGUCAUUUAUUUGAAAGGGGCAAUUGCUCCACUACAAGAUGGACCUGCGUUGUAUUAGCUAGUAGGUGAGGUAAUGGCUCACCUAGGCGACGAUACAUAGCCGACCUGAGAGGGUGAUCGGCCACACUGGGACUGAGACACGGCCCAGACUCCUACGGGAGGCAGCAGUAGGGAAUCUUCGGCAAUGGGGGCAACCCUGACCGAGCAACGCCGCGUGAGUGAAGAAGGUUUUCGGAUCGUAAAGCUCUGUUGUAAGUCAAGAACGGGUGUGAGAGUGGAAAGUUCACACUGUGACGGUAGCUUACCAGAAAGGGACGGCUAACUACGUGCCAGCAGCCGCGGUAAUACGUAGGUCCCGAGCGUUGUCCGGAUUUAUUGGGCGUAAAGCGAGCGCAGGCGGUUUGAUAAGUCUGAAGUUAAAGGCUGUGGCUCAACCAUAGUUCGCUUUGGAAACUGUCAAACUUGAGUGCAGAAGGGGAGAGUGGAAUUCCAUGUGUAGCGGUGAAAUGCGUAGAUAUAUGGAGGAACACCGGUGGCGAAAGCGGCUCUCUGGUCUGUAACUGACGCUGAGGCUCGAAAGCGUGGGGAGCGAACAGGAUUAGAUACCCUGGUAGUCCACGCCGUAAACGAUGAGUGCUAGGUGUUGGAUCCUUUCCGGGAUUCAGUGCCGCAGCUAACGCAUUAAGCACUCCGCCUGGGGAGUACGACCGCAAGGUUGAAACUCAAAGGAAUUGACGGGGGCCCGCACAAGCGGUGGAGCAUGUGGUUUAAUUCGAAGCAACGCGAAGAACCUUACCAGGUCUUGACAUCCCGAUGCUAUUUCUAGAGAUAGAAAGUUACUUCGGUACAUCGGUGACAGGUGGUGCAUGGUUGUCGUCAGCUCGUGUCGUGAGAUGUUGGGUUAAGUCCCGCAACGAGCGCAACCCCUAUUGUUAGUUGCCAUCAUUCAGUUGGGCACUCUAGCGAGACUGCCGGUAAUAAACCGGAGGAAGGUGGGGAUGACGUCAAAUCAUCAUGCCCCUUAUGACCUGGGCUACACACGUGCUACAAUGGUUGGUACAACGAGUUGCGAGUCGGUGACGGCGAGCUAAUCUCUUAAAGCCAAUCUCAGUUCGGAUUGUAGGCUGCAACUCGCCUACAUGAAGUCGGAAUCGCUAGUAAUCGCGGAUCAGCACGCCGCGGUGAAUACGUUCCCGGGCCUUGUACACACCGCCCGUCACACCACGAGAGUUUGUAACACCCGAAGUCGGUGAGGUAACCUUUUGGAGCCAGCC
rnacentral:rRNA from 1 species